UAUAAUUAUGACAUCUAUUUUUCUUUUCAUUUAAUCUCUUUCUCUUUGUUUUUUUUGAUAGAUGAAGGGUCCUCAUUAGCAACAACGAGGGCAGUGAGGUCAUUCAAAAUAUUAAAUCACGAUUCCUGGCCUGAACAAAGACAUCUCCUGACAGAUUAUGGUGCAGAGGAGCUGGACUUCCUGCUGGACCACUUCUCCCCCAUCCUAACAAGAAAUGGCUGUGAUACCAAGCUGGCAAGAGAGGAGUAUCAGUCGAUGAAAAUGUUCAUUGUUACAAACUACAUGGACAAGUCACACCAUGCCCUGUGGGGGAGGAUGUUGACCAAAAUGCCGUUCUGCUCCGACUCCAAAAACAUCCUACAUCUUGUACACAUGAUGCUUGCACUCCCAGUGUCUUCUGCUGUGUGCGAGAGAGGAUUCUCUUCCCAGAAGAGGAUUAAGUCAGAGGUCAGGGGGUCUCUUCAUGUGGACACUGUUGAGGACUUAAUCAGAAUUAGUAUGGAGGGACCAAACAUCGAUGAUUUUGAUGCCAAAGAGGCUGUUGACAUGUGGCUCAAUCAGGCUCAACGUACAAGGAGGCCUAAUUACAAGGGCUGGCCAACACAGGCACCUUAUCCCCCACCAAGGGGUGAUCUUUUGUAGGACGUGUUAAUGCACAAGUUAUGUCUACAACUUGUUCUGUUGUCAGGAGAGCAUAAAUAUUCAUUUUGUAUUUUUAAGCUGUAUAACUGGUGUAUGUUAUUAAAACUAUUGCACAAGUUUAUAAGAUUGUAUAUUGUCAAAUUAUGUAUCAGUAAUACAGUAAAAAUGAUGGGAAAACUUUGCAAGUCGAUUUAUAGUGUGCGCCCCUAAAUUUUCUGCUUGCGCCCCUAACAUUUUAAGUUAGGGGCCACUGUGCUACUAGUAAAAAAAGUUAGUCUGGAGCCCUGAUACUCAUAUACAAGAGGAUAGUUAAUACAUAUAUUUAUGUUAGACUUACUU